UACGUAGGAUGCAAGCGUUGUCCGGAAUUAUUGGGCGUAAAGCGAACGUAGGCGGUUUCUUAAGAUUGGUCUUAUAGACCGGGGCUCAACCCCGGGAAUGGAUCGAUAACUGGGAGACUGGAGGACGUCAGAGGAAAGUGGAAUUCCGAGUGUAGCGGUGAAAUGCGUAGAUAUUCGGAGGAACACCAGUGGCGAAAGCGACUUUCUGGGACGUUCCUGACGCUGAGGUUCGAAAGCUCGGGGAGCAAACAGG
rnacentral:rRNA from 1 species